rnacentral:rRNA from 1 species
UACGGAGGGGGCCAGCGUUGUUCGGAAUUACUGGGCGUAAAGCGCACGUAGGCGGACGCUUAAGUCAGGGGUGAAAUCCCGGGGCUCAACCCCGGAACUGCCUUUGAUACUGGGUGUCUGGAGGUCGAGAGAGGUGAGUGGAAUUCCGAGUGUAGAGGUGAAAUUCGUAGAUAUUCGGAGGAACACCAGUGGCGAAGGCGGCUCACUGGCUCGAUACUGACGCUGAGGUGCGAAAGCGUGGGGAGCAAACAGG